UUUUUUUUUUUUUUUUUUCUACUUAAAAAUAAAUCUCCAUAAAAUACACACUAUCUUUUAGAUACGGUAUUUAAUCAUGCUCAAUUAACAAAAAUAAAUGCAUAAACAUAACUUUCCAUCAUGCGAAAAUCUUCUUGAGAAUUAUACCUUAAAAUUCUAAACAAAGAGAUUAUUAACAAACACAAACAUCGUAUACAUAUAUAAUUUAACUCUUAUCAAGUGCAAAAUUGGCAAAGUGGAAAGGUCAAUUGUAGCCAAUUUUGUCAAUUAAGGCUCAACUUGGUAAUAGAUGGUCAAUUUAGUCGAUAAACAACAUUACAUCAACAUUUGUUAUUUUUGAUAAACAUUGAUAAAAAAGUACUCAGUUCCAUUAAACGAAGUAAAAAGAAUUUCUAAAAUAGUUAUUUAUUUCUUUGGACUUGGGCUUGGAUUUUAAUGAAGGGGUUGAUCUUGGGCUUGGAUUUUAAUGAAGGAGCUAGCAUGAAUAACUAUGGGAUUGAUUUACCCAAAACAUUCACUAGUUGAUUUAGAAAUGAAGGGCUUGUGCUUGGACUCAUUUCCGUUCCACUUCCAACCACUGCCAGAUUAAGAUAAGCAUGGAAUGAUGGGCUUGGGCUUGGGCUUGGAUUUGGACAUUCACACUACUAUUUACAACAGCUACCCUUUUAUUAUUUUUCUUUAAUAACUCAUAAAUGGAUUGAAAACUUUAAUAUUGUGGUGUGACAUUAAAUAUUUUUCUUUAACCACACAUUGCAUUUGGUCUAGGGGCAAAGAUAUCGUGUUGUGAAACUAAGUUUUGUACCAGGGGGCAGGGAGCAACUGAGCAAGUGAUCCUUAAAAUGAAACAAAGGUGCAGUAUAUUGUAAGUUUGUAACAUAACGGUCGGUUCCAUCUGGUCUGGUCGACAUGUUUGUUAAAUCAAUGUCUCACUUUCUAAGUUGCAAUUUGCAUGUCUUGAAGAGGUGGUGAAUUCACGACUUCGUGGAUGUCAUGAUGUUCAAAAAUAUGUAUGUGAUUCACUAUGGUUACAAUGGUCUUGUUCCAUUCAAUCUAUAUUGUUUACCACAACUUUGUCCCCAAACUGUAAAUUCAUGUGCAUUUACAAUGAGAUAUAAUAUCACAAAUGAGGUAUACAUACCACAGAAGCUGAUGCAAAGACGGAAAGCUGUUACAUUCUUCUAUCAGGAUGAUUCUUUUUUUACCUCAACAUAUUCACAUCCCUAUAAUACAAUUAUACUUUGGUCUCAACAUUUACAGACAAUCAAAUACACCCCAAUCUCGUUCUCAUUUUGUAUUUUAGAACCAGCUGAAUUGGUCAUCUUCUUUCCUUGCCUUAAUCUAGCCUGCCCCAUUGACAACAGAGUGAGUUGACUGAACUAGCAUGUACUAUACUGUAAGCACACCAUGAACCAAAAGACCUGUCAAACCAGACUCUGUGACAGCCUCAAAAGGGUAACAAAAACUCACAAUCUGAUUGAGCCAUUGUGACUAAUAGAUUGUGCUCUGCUUACACAUUCUAUACUUCGGCUCUUUCAGUAUAGUCCUGGCCGAGUUCAGAUUGGAGCUUUCCUGUUAGACUCUGCAUUGAUAUUAAAGAAUUUUGUAAGAAAAAUAUUUUGCCAUGUGACAAACAAUUAUGCUUGAGAGAUAUAAUUCGAUCUGAAACUAAAAAAAUAAUGGCACAGCAGUUAAAGCCUAUAUUAGACAUCAUAAAUCAAGCAAAGUAGGGGAUUCCCAAAUAUAGCAUAACAUAAAAACUCGUAUUUAACUUAAGCUUACUUGCUAGCCGAAUUAAAAAACACAAUAUAUUCUUGUAAAGAUAACUCUGUAGAUCCAAGACAACACUAAACUAAUAAAAAUUCCAUAAGUGCAUGAUGGAAAUAAAUAUGGUUUACCAUCAUUAAACCAUUUGUAACAGUGAUAUGCAGUUCUUUUGCCCAUGUAGCCUUGCUAUGGUCAUUUACUAGUAAAAAAGUAGGCAUGUAGGUGGUGACCACCUGCUGAACCGAAAGAAGGCCUGGCUAGACUAUAUAGGUCCAUGGUGAUGGGAGUAUACUUGUCCAGGGAGAGUUCUACGACCAGGUUAUGUAACCCGCACUAAUGGUUAACUCUCACUUAUUGAAAACAAUUUCCAAGACAUCACAUUAAGACCAUUUAACAUUAUUAUAACUAUACAUCAAUGACAUGUGCAACGCGCACAGAACAAUAGCUUGUAAGAGCAUUCCCAAUGGUAGGUUUUAAAUCACUUUUAGCAACUUUUAGUAAAAAACUCUUGCCAAUAGUGGGUUUUAACACACUUUUCAAGUAAAACACUUUUAUCUCCUUGGCAAAUUUGCCAAGGAGUUAAAAGUGCCACAUAGGACCAUUUUAUUAAUUAAAAAUUAGAUUUCAUCACAAUGUACACUAUAUUUUUGGGGAAAAGUGAAACCUUAAAUUUUAACCCUUGUUUUAAAACCAACCAUUGGUAACUCUAAAAGUGCUAAUCACUUUUAACAUAAAUUUUAUGCUAAAACCUUUUCUCUCUCUCCUAUGUGGCACCCUUAAAACCCUUUUACUAUUGGGAAUGCUCUAACAUGUAUAAUGGAGUGAAAACUAAAAGUAAAGGUGCACUAAGACCAUUUAAUAUAGACCUCAAAGGAAUCAGAAUGGUCACACGGAUCAUUCUCGAUAAACGAAAAUAACUCAGCCAGCCAAAGGAAAAAGGAUCGGACUAGUAUACCACAAUGCACGCCAGACCAAUGUUAACUUCAAGACUACUAUCACAUAUCAGUUUGGGCAUACUUGCAUAAGAAGAAAACCAAACAGAGUGCAACUUGAUGAACCUAGCCUGAACCCAACAAACUUUUAUCAAAACACAAAUUGGCUGGAAGCCAUCUUUCAGCUGUUUUGAAUGCCCAACACAUCUCUACUUGAGAAACCCAAGUCCAUGUACAAAACCCCAUAUCGCUACCAUCUCUUCUUUAGUUUCAACAGAAUAUACAUUGAAUAUACAUUGACUACAAAUCAUAGCUUACACCGAUUUCUUUGAAGAUAAUGCCUCUAGAAUUUCUGUAGUACAUGAACGAUCAUCUGCAUUUUGUGCCACCAUCCUUCGUAGCAAAUCCUUGACAUAUCCAUACUCAUCCUCUAAGGAUGACGGAAGCUCUCCUUUCAUCAGUGCAGAAAUCUUUGGCAACCUCUCUGUUUCAGUCACACAACUAUCAAAAAUAUCAAAAAGCAGUACUCCUAUACUGUAAAUGUCUACCUGUAAUUAGAUUAUAAAUCAAUAUUUCAUCCCUAUAAUUUGAUUCAAACAUCAAUAAAAUACAUUGAAUAUUCAAAAGUUCGAAACCAUAAAAUAGAAGAAAUCAAAUUUGCAAGUUUCUUAACUUAAUAAACAAAAUAAAAAAAUUCAUGGACUUGAUUGUAAACAUGAUAAGAACAAUAUUUUUGAAAAUAAACUACCAUAAAAUCACUUUUAAAGAUUCACACGAUUGUUAUUGCUAUCCUAUCAGAAUUGGAGUUAGUUAAUAUGGCCAGGGCACAACAUUGGCUCUGGAGGAGUCUAUUGAAAUGCUAACAAAUUGUUCACAAGUGUAGAUGACGUACUUAAUAAUUUCUUUUAACAACAAAAGCUUGAUUAUUAAUAUUAAAGAAAUUACAGCCUGGUACAAGGGAGAUAUUACUUAGCAAGGUACUAUGUACUAAGGAGCACACAACCUAAGUUUUACCAAAGAAACAGACAAUAAAGACCUUACAAUCUCUUGAUCUCAUCACACUAACACAUAAAUUCUUUUUUUUUUUUUUUGAAAGCCUGUUUUAACGAGAUCAGUAACUCAAUGAUGCACUGCCAGGGAUCAAACCCCAGACCUCUGGUAUCAUUGCCCAGAGGUAUUACCAACUGGGCUCAACUGGCAUCUGCCUUGCACAUAAAUUCUUAAUAGUGUAGAUAUCUAAAAGCAACUAUUGAAUCAUAUAGGUAUGGGCUAUUUUCCCCAAACCCCUAUAGGCCAAUUUGUAGAAACCCCACCCAACCUCAAUAAUUUAUUUUACCCUUUCUCCGUCGUGACGAUCAGCUCUACUUUGUUAGAAGCGUUUGCAAAUUACCAUUGUACACUGAUGACAUGUCAAAUUAUAGUGUGGAAAAAACCCAGCCACAUAUUUAGAAUCAAUGAGUUCACUCAUCUAAUAGACCUACAAUGAGAAUGUUGAGAAAGCUUGCUCUCUGCCUCUAUUAAUAAUACGAACAAAACAAAACCAAGAUGAUGCAAGAGAUCAUACUCAAAAUAUUACUUAUUACAUGAAUUUCUAUUUUACUAAUAGGUUUAAGAUUUCUAAUUUAUUUUUAAUAUUUGUCAUUAAUAUUUAGGUAAUUAUUAACAGUAUCUAAAAGAGUCUUAUAUGAGUUCUAGUAGGUUUAGGAAGUCCUUUUAGUAGGUUUACGAAAUUUUUACUAUUUUAAUUGGGUUCCUACUUGUUAUCUAUAUAAAGAGCUCCAAAAAUGAAAAUGGUAUUAUUCAAUUAUUCAAUCAACUUAUUAUCCAAUCAAUCUAAGAGAAUUUCUCUCAAAUUUAUUUUAUGUUUUAGUUUUUAUCAAAUCUAUCGAUUCUUUUUACACUUCUGCUACAUUACAACAUCCAAUAUAAAUUCUAGAUCUAAAGCACAAAUAAGUGAAGGUGAAGAUCUAAAGCGUGAAUUUCAGUGCAUAUAGCUUAAGUUAUAUAGGGGUUUGGACAAUUGUAUUCUUUACUUCCAAAUGCAUUUUGGAGUCCUCUUGGAUCUCUUCCCCAAAAUCCUUCUCUUUCAAUCCUUCCACAAAUCCAUAGAAUGGCGAGAGGUUUAUAAUAUAUAUGGAGGAAAUUUUACCUUCCUAGUCACAGUUCGACUUUCAAGGAGCUCUGGUGCCCUAUAACUAGGAUUUCCCAAGUAAGUAAGUGGAUCAAACGCUGUGAAGUUCAUUGCCGAAGUUGGAUCUACGUAUUGGGCUGCAGAAACAAAUAAAAGAUAACGUCAUUUUUGGUUUGUGAAACCAAUAACAUAAAACAAUCAAUAACAAAUAUACAGAAAAUAAUAGUGGAGAAACAAAACUUUACCUAAGCCAAAAUCGCAUAGUCUUACAUCACCACUAGAAUCAAAUAAGAUGUUGUCCGGAGUUACAUCACAGUGACAAAUUCCUUGGGUAUGGACAUUGUGAAUUGCCUCAACAAUUUGCAUGAAUAUCUGCCAAGCUUUAUCCAUUUCAAUUUUCUUCCUUCCCAAUGAUUUUUCAAUUUCCUUCAAAUCAAUAAAUGAUAAAGUUAUUAAUAAACUGAUUUAAUAAAAUACACAUUAACGGCUGGUAGUAACAGGAAAAGGUGAUACAUUGCCACAGAUAACAAAUAUCUAUUAGAUAACCCAAUGGGAUGGAAACAUGCCAAAAACAAAACAAAACAGAGAGAAGUACGACUAUGGCCCUGACUGGUAAUUGGUUUCUGAAUAGAGCAAAUGCAUUAGUAUUAAGUUGUGAGCACUGUAUCGAGAAAAUAGCUAUACGGUGAGAAAAUACGAUUUUCUUUUCUCAUUGUUUAAGUUAACAAUCAAACAGCUAAAUAAUACCCCUUUUCCACUGGUCCAUUGAGAAAACAUGUAAGUUUUCUCAUUACAUUGGGAAAAUGCUUGUAAUCAAACACACUCUUAGAAUUCCAAACUAGUGAGAAAAUAGGGUUAUUUUCCCACUAGGGUGAGAAAAGAGGAAGGUUAAUUUCCUUCUCUUUGUCCACCGUUAGAUAUAAUUCAGACAACAUCUGACCAUCCACCUUAAUACAUAUUUAUACUUCCUUUGAGGAGACAAAAAAAACAGUUUGUGUUGGAGAAGUAGAGGCAACAGACGAUUCUUGGUAAAUGCUCAUUUUUUAUCUUUCUUUCAUUCUAUCAACAAUUUUGUGCUGUAAAUCUGAUUUUGUGAGGUAAUUGUAAAUCUGUAACAAUUUUUUCAUCUAUUUUUCAUUUGUUCUUUCAUCCAUCAACUAUUUUUCGUCUUUCUUUCAUCCAUCAUCUUUCUCUCUGUUAACCGUAGACUGUUAAUUGUAGAUCUGUAUAGAUCUGUUCAUUUCGAACUCGAAAACUGUAAAUUAUAAUUGUAGAUCUGUUCAAUUUCUUCAAAAUUUCUCUACUACAAACUCAAGUGUUAACAACAAAGUGGGUUUUUUUUGUAAGUGUUAACUCUUUUUUCAACAAAAGGAAGUUUCUCUCUCUCUGUUUUUCUCUCUGUAGAGAAGCAGGGGAUGUGAAAAAAGUUUGGAAUUUGUUGUUUUCUAGUAUUAAAGUUUCAAACUUUAAUCAAAUUUGAAGUUCAUAACAUCAAAACUACUAAAAGUAGUUGAAAUGAUGGCAAGGAUUCUUCGAAAUGCUCAUUAUGUUUGGUUCUAUGGUCCAUCUUUGUGCUUGCAACAUAUAUGAUAAAUUUUAGCUUUUGCGUUUUAUUUCUAGCUUGUGGUCUGAUCAAGAUCUGCAAAAAUUGUUCUAGCUUUCUUUCCUUAUUAUUGUUGGUUUCUCUUUGUUAAAAUGCUCGAGUUCAGUUAAAAUAAGCAUUUUUGGUGUUUUAUAGCUUGCUAAUAGAUGUAAAAAAAUUUAUAGCUUGCUAAUAGAUGUAAACUUUACAAAUCUAUGUUGUUUAGUUUUAGUGCGCAAAUCUAACUAUUGGUUUUUGUUUUUCGAUCAUGUCUACAAAUUGGUUGGAAUUACUGUAACUAGUUCAUUGGACUUUGGGUUACAUCGGUUACAUUGGAUUUAGGAGGUCUCUCAUCUUUGAUUCUGCAGCUGCUCGGUAUGGAUAUUUAAGCCAAAUUUAUUUUGUAAUGCUUAAUAUGACUAUGAUGUAUUGUGUAGUGAUUAGUAAGAUAAGUAUGAGAAUUGUGUUUAAGCAUGAUCCUAAAGUGAUAGGAGUGAUUUUUCUAAACCUCUAUUUUUCAUGUAUAGAUUCUUGACAAGAUAUUUGUUUACACGGUCUCAUGCUUGAAUUACAAACUGAUUAUAUGUUUGGAUUAAAUUGAUUAAUUAGUGACAAGAUAUUUGUUUACAUGGUUAUAUGCUUUGAUUACAUACUGGUUUACACUAGUUUAUAUUUGUUUACAUAUAUUUACUCGUUUGAUACUAGUUUACAUGGAAUAGUUUAUAAUCUAUAUAUGAUUAAUUUUAGUUAUACAUUUGUUGAACUGUUUAUCUAUUGGCACCAUAUAUUUGUAAAGUUUACAUCUAUUAGCAAGAUAGUAAAAUUUACAUCUAUUUAGCAUAUUAACACUUGGAUGGCAUGGCUUCAACUGUGUAUAUAUGUGUCCUCGAUCAUUGAUAUGCUUAGUAGUACGGGUUUGGAAGUAAGCCAUACAUCCAAAGCAGGGAAAUGGGAUAAUAAACCUUCAAGUAGUCGUGCUCAUGACUAUUGACAAGUUUUAUUUGAUUUUGGUUGGUGGCCCUUUUUUAUAUUUGAAAAAAAGAACAGCAUUUGCCUUUAGCAAGAUGAUGAUGAUGAAGACACAUUAUAUUAUAUAUAUCAGUCAUGAGCAUGUCAUGCCACAGAUUACAUUAUGGACACUGAAAGUAAUACUAUGUUCAGACAUCAGAGCCUCAUGACCAUCACCUUGCCGACCAAGUAACCAGUUCAUAGUUCACACUCACCAUCUAUUGUGCUGCCUAGUUGUAUGUUGUGUGUCAUGCCUUGGUGUAAAUCGAAAAUUCUUAUGUAGAAUCUUUGCGUACAAUAUAUGGUGUGGAUAUCAUAUUAUCAUCAGUACUAGUAGUGGUUUCUAGUGUAACAGUUUCAUCUUAAAGUAUAUAAAUCUCUAUAAUAUAUGAUUAAUUUUAGUUAUACAUUUGUUGAAUUGUUUAUCUAUUUGUAACUUUAGUUAAUAUUUUAGAAGAUACAUUGCUUUGUAUGUGUAAAGUAUGUGGACAGAAGAAGAGCGUAAGUUAGCCGCGGCCAAUUUUUUCAUGAUUAUAAUCCAAUGGGUCAUGAUGUAUCGUUGGACUAGAGUGAGGAGAGCAAUGAGACUUCCUAGGGCUCCUUAUACUAAUAAUGAUGCCCUAUGGACUGAAGUACUGCGUAAGUUGUAUGGUGAUACAGAUACAGCAUGCCAUGCCCAACUUAGAAUGCGCAUAGCUCCAUUUGGUCGUUUAUGUGAUCGAUUGCGCCUUCAUGGUCUUCAAGAUAGUAAAUAUGUGUCAGUCAAGGAGCAAGUUGCAUACUUCCUAUUAACUGUUGGGCAUGAUUGGCGCAAUCGAGGUGUUUUGCAUAAAGUUCAUAGGUCGGGGCAAACGGUCAGCUUCUACUUUCACAGAGUUUUGAAAGCCUUACUUAGUCUAUACGGAGAAGUUGUGGUCCCCCCUACACAACACAAUGGUCCUCAUGAAUCCCAAUAUGAACGAAAUUAUGAACAUUACUUUAAGGUUAAUAUCCUGACCUAGUUAUUUCCACAUAUUAAUAGAGAUGUUUAAUUGUGAUAAAAUAUGUUUUUUGUUUUUUUUUUGUUUUUUGAACUUAGGAUGCCAUUGGCGCAAUCGAUGGAGCCCACUUUGAGACUAAUGUUCCUUCGUCAGACCAAGGUAGAUAUCGUAAUAGAAAAAAAUUAAUUACCCAAAAUGUCUUGGUAGCUUGCACAUUCGACUUGCGGUUCAUGUAUGUUUUAGUCGGUUGGGAAGGGUCUGCACAUGACGGUAGAGUUCUAAGAUGUGCUGUGAGCCGCGUAGGCCGUCGUUUGACCAUAACACAGGGUACAAUACCUUAGGCUCAUUAUAUUAUUAUAAUUGUUCGUACCUAUAUUUAAAAGUGGGCCUAAUGUAGAAGUAUUUGUAUAGGAAAAUAUUAUUUGGCUGAUGCUGGAUACUGACAUGUGCCCGGUUUCAUGACUCCAUACCGAAGAACUCGAUACCAUAGACGUGAACAAGAAAACUAUACCCCUCAAACUAGAAAAGAAUUAUAUAACUUCCGUCAUUCAUCACUACGCAAUGUUGUCGAGCGGAUAAUUGGUGUAUUGAAGAAACGGUUCGCAUAUCUUCGUCAUGCACCAUUUCAUGAUGCUCGAACUCACACAAAGAUUAUAUAUGCAUGUGUUGCUUUGCAUAAUUGGUUACGCCUUGAUGACCCUGAUGAUGAUAUGGAGGUUGCUAACAUAGAUUUGGGACCUGAUUCGGAUGAUGAAGAUGGUGAACCAGGAGAGGUUAAUGUGCCUAAUUAUGAGCAUCUUGUGAUGGCCCCCACUAAUCAGUGGACUGCUGUCAGAGAUGACUUGGCUGCACUCAUGUGGCUUGAGGAUGGCAAUUAGUUGCCACCUUUUUUUGUGUGUUAUUUAAAAAGAAAACUGUUUUCACUUUGUAUUAUGUAUUGGCAGUUGAGAAUUGUUUACUUGCUUGUUAAAGCCUAAUGUGGUAUUAAACUCAGAUGUUUUUACUAUGAUUUGAAUGAUUGUUCCAAUUUAAAAUCCAUAGUUACUUGUCAAAAUGUCUGCAAUAUUCUUGUCAUCAAUGCUAGCCAAUUUUGUAUGGUUUGUGUGUAUGCAUUGUUAUCAUCGUAGGCAUUGUUGUUCAUUUCUUUGGUAUUUUAUACCAUGCAUAUUAUAGGAAUGGCGCACCCCCAGGGUUGGAAACAAAUUAGGUGGACUGAAGAGAUGGAUUCCAUCUUGAUUAGGGUACUUUAUGAUGAAGCUUUGUCUGGUAAUAGAAGGUCUGAUAAUGGUUGGAAGCCUGAGGCUAUCAAACAUGUUGUGGACGCUGUGGUUGCCCAUUAUGGGUAUGCUUUGAUGGCUAAACAUGUGUGCGGCAGGCUGAAAACCAUGAAAAAAGAGUAUGGUGCUGCUAAAGAAGCUUUGGAUUUGUCAGGUUUUACCUUUAACAAUGAGACUAAUCUCAUUGAAGGUGAUGAAACUGCUUGGAGUGAUUAUUUGCGGGUACUUUCUUUCAAUCCUUUUCUAGUCCUAGCCAUUUUGAUAAGUUUGCCAUCUGUGUGGUCCAUUGUAUAAGACCAAACUAUUUAUUGGGUUAUCACCGUGUUUAGGAUUAUCCCAAGGCAUCAUAUCUGCGCAACAAGAUGUUGCCCCAUUAUGAAGAGAUGGUAAUCAUUUUUGGCAAAGAUGUUGCCACUGGGGGACUCCACUUUGAACCUGGUGAUGACAUUGAACUUGAUGACAACAUGGAGGAUGUGAACCAGUCACCUUGCCAAGGUGAUGCCAAUCUGAUUGGUUAGUUUUAUUUUUAUUUUUUUAUCCUUUAAAAUGUUUAUUCAACACUCAUAUGUUUGGUAACUAAUAUAUAGUUUCCAAAUUGUAGAUGAGAUUGAUUCAACAUUUGAGGAGGAUGAACCUAUGCUCAAUCCUAUUGGUGGAGACACCUUUAGUGGAGUUGAUGGAGCUGGUAGGCGUGUCCAAGCAGAAGACUCUGGUACUUCAGCUGCAUCGGGAGCGAGGAAUGGGCGUAAUAGGAGGGCGACAAGUGCUGGUCCUCAUAGUAGGCGUACCAGGUCAAGGUUUGCUAGUAAUAGUGAAGAUGCUGAGAUCAGGGAGUCAUUCAAGUUGUUGGCUGAAGCUGCCAAAGACAUAGCUAGUUCAUUUAGGUCUCCUAACUAUAUGAAGCUAGAUGAGGCUAUGAGAGAUAUACCUGACUUGUCUGAGGAGGACAUCUAUGCUGCCAUGGAGAUGUUUUCUAACUCCAAGGAAGUUGCUGGGGUUUUCUUUGGGUUGUCUGAAGUGGCUAGAGUUGAAUGGCUGCACAGGAAACUUUCCUUUACACACUAUGACUGACAAUGUUCUUGACUAAUCUGUGUCGUUGAUUGUGUGGAGUCUUUAUCUGUUGUACUAAGCCUACUUGUUAUGUUAUGUAUUAUGUAGUUUACAGACUAUGAUUGCUUGUUAUAUGAAACUAACAAAUGGUCCAAAUUUGAAUUCAAUUCAUGUUUGCCAAUCCUAGAACCAUUCAUGUUGUGUGACCAACCUAAUUGUGUUGGUAUGUUAAAACUCCACACUGGAAUGGGGAAUACAAGUAACAAAUGGAUAUCUUUUGCAAAGUGUUCAUUUCAAUCGUAUCCUGGAAUCAGAUUUCUUCAUCCAUUUGUUAACCCUCCUACUUCUAGCGAUAACGAGUUGAUUUGCGUGAAAUGCCUUCAAUACCCUUGUUAUGGAGAUUGCUCAAAUUGGUGGUUACACCAUGUGGAGCCACCUGAAGAUAUAAUGUGUUUGCAUUGCUUGGGUGAUCCUUGUAUGUGGGAUUGUGUUAAUGAUUGUGAUUGUUGUAGUCGUGAUAUCGAUUAGUUUCAUGUAUUGUAUAAACUUUGUGUAAACUUGUGGAACAACUAAUUAGGCUUAUUGUAUGUUUAAUAUUUAUCUUGGUAUGAAACAGUUUUGGUAUGGAUAUACCUUGGUCAGCCUCUCAUAGGUCCAUUAGGUGGACCACCGCAAUGGAUAUGAAUAUGUGUGCUAAAUUAUUAGAGAUUACCAUAAAUGGGGGUCGUAGUUCGGAUGAAAGAUUUAAUAAGAGUGCACACUCUGAAGCUGCAGAUGAGAUAAAUAAAUACUUACGAAUUGAAGUAACAACUGAACAAGUUAGGGGUCGCAUGAAGACUUUGAAGAAGACCACAAAAAAAAUAGAAGAAUUAUGUUUGAGGCCUGAAUUUGUAUUUGAUCUUCUAGAAUGCAAAAUCAAUGCCAGUGAGGAAGCACGGGCUGAGCUAUUACAACCACCAAAUCAUAUCCAUUGGAUUGGUCUGAAGAAUUAAGACUUUUCCGGCACACACCAUGUGCAUCCACCUAUUCGCUCCAAUGCCACCACCUAUGCUAUGAUGUCAAUCUGUUCAGAGUAAUCCAAACUCAAAUUGGAAUGUUUUAUGUUGGAUUUAUGGAUUGUGUAAUAUUGGAUGAAUUAUUGUUUGAUGUACUCUUUUGUGUUAUUUUGAUGGAGCUCAAAUUAUUGUAAUCUUUGAGCUAUUAUGCAUUCAAUUGGAUUUAAUGAUUGUUCCGUAUUUUUUUGAAUUAUUUAUUGUACUUAUAUAUGUUAUUUAAAUAUAAAUAGGUCAAAAAAUGGAUAUUUGCCCAUACAAUCACAUGAGGCUUACCUGGACAAAGGAUGUGUCCAAGGGUCACGUCACCAAAGGGUGUAUCAUGGUCAGUACAAAUAGCAUUUACUUCAUGUAUGAAUUUUCUUAAAUAAAUAUAUUGUAGUAUAUUUUCAAUUAUUUCUAACACGUGUUUAUUUAUAAUAGUAGAAAGUUCCUGCUAAUAUCAAGAUACUAGUUGAGGGCACUGUUUCUGUUGUCCUAUGGGUCGCUCGACAGAAAAGAUAUGAGGUGGAAUUAGUGGAUGAUAAGAGCGACUUUUUAUAUUUUCGUCACUCUGAGUGGAAGGCAUUUGUGAAGGCUACACAUUUAGCUAAAAGAGAUAGUAUAAGGUUUGAGUUUCAUAACAGGGUGAACAAUGUCCUCAUGUUUAUUGUGCAGAUUAGGCACACUGACCCAAAUGUAACAGAUCUAGUUUGUGCUACAAAACCGUCUGCAAGAAGGACUUACCCUGCUGGUUGUGGUAGCUCUGGUCAUAGUACUCCUGCGAACAUUGAUGAAUAUCUAGAUGAGAGCGAAACUGAUGAGUAGUUGUACCUUUGUUAGUGGUCAGAUUAGUAUUUCGAAAAUAUUUUGUACUUUUGUUUUGGUUUAAUGCUAUUGUUGGAGUUAUUUAGUAUUGUAAAACCUAUGUUGUUUAAAUAUUGUAUUUUUAUGUUAAGUUGAAAUAUUGUUGGACUUAUUUUGUUGAAGCCAUGGUAUUUUUUUGUUGAACCAUACAAUGGGUUUUUGUUGAAAUAUUGUUUGAUUUAUUUUAUAAAAAUGCCAAAACUAUUUACUUGUUAUCGGACCUAUUUUACUAUCUUGUGGAUAUAUGAAAAUAAAAAAAAAUUCAUGGGCUUCCAUGGACCCAAUGCUACCUCGGACCUAUUUUACUCUUGUGGAUAUAGGAAAAUACAAAAUAAGGUUCAUGGGCUUCUAUGGACUCAAUGCUACAUAAUAAGGUUCAUGGGCUUCAACAUAUUUUCCCAAUAGUAAGGAUUAGAUUUCUCAUUGCAAUCAAACAAAACAAGUGGGAAUUUAACUUAAAACAGUUGGAAUUCAAUAAUUUUCUCAUUGCAAUCAAACAAAACAAGUGAGAAAAUAGUGAGAAAAUAAUUAGAAUUCCCACUAUCAAUCAAACACUAUAUUUGUGCAGAGUGAGAAUGACUUAAAACAUUUUCUUACUUAAGUGUGAAAAUAUUUUAAGUCAUUCCCACUUAAGUGGGAAAACUAUCUUUAAGUCAUUCUGACUCUCGUAUUUUCUCACUCCGCAAUCAAACGCAGCCUAAGGGGAGGGGGGGGGGGUAAGAAUGUUUUCCUACUGUUUAAAGAAAAUAGCUAUACGGUGAGAAAAUACGAUUUUCUUUUCUCAUUGUUAAAGUUAACAAUCAAACAGCUAAAUAAUGCCCCUUUUCCACUGGUCCACUGAGAAAACACAUAAGUUUUCUCAUUACAUUGGGGAAAUGCUUGUAAUCAAACACACCCUUAGAAAGAAAUUAGAGUUACAGAAGGAAAGAAAAGGAAAGAAGAAGAUAGAGGAAUUGUAAUAAGAGUGUAUUCAUUUCAUAGUUGCCUUUUCUUACAAUAUCUUGUACAAUUUAUAGUUCCUACAAUUCCCUAACUAGGGUUAACACCUCCAUCACUUUAGUAUUGGACUGGAUAUGACAAUGGAUAGUAAUAUUGGGCCUAAACCUAUAUUGGAUGGCUUGGAUCUGACAAAUCUAUUCUCUCUCCUUCGUCUUUAUCUAAGCUAUUUUUAUUCUCCCUCUUGAUUCCGAUUGAAGGCGUGUAAUACGAAAAAUCUCUAUGUAUAUCGGAUCCGAAUUUUUAAUGGAUCGGUUUUUCCAGCUUUUUAGUAUGAAAGAAGCCCAAUCAAGUGGACCAUGGAGUCCAUUACCUAAUUCUUUGGUUGUGCUUGUUUCCCCGGAAGUUUUGGGAAAUGAAACCUUUAUGAAUGGAAAAAAUUGUAAACAGUUUCUUUUUUUUUUAUUUUGCAAAAACUUUUCACUGUGUUUGGUUGUUAAAUAAGGAAAGUUUCGGAUUCCUGCAAACAACCUUACAUAUACCUAAAAUUACACCUAUACCAUUUUUUAAUAAAAUAAAUAAACAAUUUUAAUUAAAUUCAUAAUUACAUGAUUAUCAUAAUUGAGGAUCACAUAUUCAUUUGGACGUAGAAACCAAAGACAGACCCCACAUGUUCAUGAUAAGUCCAUCAAAGUACAGUAGUAACAUUCUAAAAGUGUUGUUGGGCUACCAAAGAAAAAGCAGUUGGCAUAUUAACAUAUACAUCAAUAGAAUCAAAAGCCUUCAAAAAUCGCCUUCGUGUGAAAUUUUACAUUUCACAAGUAAAAAUUACAUCAAAAUUGCAAUGUCUUUCUAACCAAAUAAAAUUACAAAAACGUAUAAUAUGUCGUUACAAUUUUUGAAGUGAUCAAACAUCUUGCGAGCUAUUCCAUCCCUAAAUUCAGCUCAUUUUGCCUUUUGGAUUGAAUGCGGCAUAGGGGGUGCAUCAUCACUACUUUCAUCAAUUAGAGCUUCGUCAAGUUCUUUGUCGACUUCAUCUUAAAUUGGAUCAUAUGCUCAAGCCCCCUAAGAGCAUUCCCAAUAGUAGGUUUUAGCACACAUUUAGUAAACUUUUAGUGAAAACAUUUGCCAAUGGUAGUUUUUAACACACUUUUCAAGCAACACUUUUUAACUCCUUAGCAAAUUUGCAAAGUAGUUAAAAGUGCCACGUAGGAAUCCAUCCGCCACAAUUAGUGCGGUAUGGAUUCAUGCCCCACAAUUAAUGCGGUAUGGACUCAUCUAAAGGAAGACUCAUCCGCCACAAUUAGUGUGGUAUGGAUCCAUCCGCUACAAUGAGUAGGGUAUGGAUCUAUACCCCACAUAGAUUGUGGUUUCAAUAAUCCACCAUUGGAAACACUAAAACCUUUUUUUUUUUUUGGCUAAAACCAUUAGAAAUACCAAAAUUCCUUAAAACCAUCCUAUGUGGCACCACUAUAAGUGUUUUACCAUUGAGAAUGCUGUAAUAUGGUUAUGAAGUAUGAAACAAGCUAAAACUAUUUUCACUUGUAUCUUGUAUGGAUAAAAAGAUUGUGUAGAUAACAUAGGCCACCGAUUCUUCAAUACUCCAAACGCUUUUUAAGUGAAUGUCUAUUGUUGAAUAACUCCUUCCCAUUUUGUGGAAUACGAUCUUCAUGCUCACUUACAUGAUAGAGAGUACGACGAUAGGGGGGAAGAAAACCGAGUUGAUUUGUAUAACCCGCAUCCACAAGGUAAUAUCUACCUACAAGUGACAUUUUUGUAUGAUAUAAAUUAGCAAAUUCAUUUAAGGUUCUAAUGAAUACUAAGUAAGACUUCAACAUAAUUAGUGUUACCUGAAGGGACAACAAAUGGGUUUGCUUGCGCAAGGGCAUCAUCGAACACUCUUUGAUCAUGUGUCGUCCCUUCCCAACCAGCAAGAACAUACGUAAAUUUCAAAUCAAACGAGCAAGCUGCUAACACAUUUUGUGUAGUAAUCAAUUUUCUUCCUCUGAACCGAUCUUGUUCUUACAUAGGUGCACUAGCAGUGACGUGCGUCCCAUCCAACGCCCCAAGACAACCAUUUAGAACCCAAACAAAAUUAUAAAUAUAUUUUUCUAGAGAAAAAAGUUUUAUUAUACUAGUGUGGUACUAUUAUUACUUAAAAUACUCCAUGUAAUGCGGAUCAUUUGUAAUUUCUGGAGGGUUCCUGAACCAUGUACUAGUUGUAGGUGAUCAGCGAUUAAAGGUUUAUACAAUUUGAGUACGCACUUCAAAAUCUCAUUGAAUUGACGACUAAUUGUUUCUCUAGACCGAUAAAACCUUCCUCGAGUACUCUGUUCCUAACAUUGUGGCCAAUCAUAUGAAGAAACCGCAUCACCAUUUCCUCCAAAGUACAAUUAUUGCUAUCUGUUAUCGCUUACAACUCCUUGUGCUCUAAUUAAAAAGCACAACUGAUGAAAAGAUUGUAUUCCAUUCGUAAAUUAUGACGACACUUGUCAUCGGUCUCUAAUAUUGAAUUCAUGUAACUUCUCCUUUCGUCAUUUCUAUCGAUUCGAGGUUCUAAAGGUAUGUUAAGUGUUAGAUAAGCAGUAGUGCUAGCGUUAGCAGCAGCUGCAUGGGCUGCAACAACUACAGCUACUUUUCUUUUUCGUUCUUGUUCAUCACCUUCCAUCUACAAACAUGAAAACAUAGAAAGGUACCAUCACUGUAGGGGUACUACAUACUCCGACCAAUCAAAAGCAGCCACGUGGCACAGUCAUCCAUCCGUCAGGUCGCCACGCACUCGCAGCUCGACUAAAGCGACCAGACUACGCAACGACCAGCGACCUGCUAUUCACACGUGCUCCUAUUCAAUGCACAGAAUAUUCUCAUCAGUUACAGAAUUAAUUCACAGGGAUGAUCCUCGCGCGUUACACAUUUAAUCAUCAUUAUGAUGGCGGAGAAUCUGCAAGAUCCACGAUCCACGCCCUUCCAUCUUCUAUAUAAACAGAACUACGAUGGCUUGAUCUCUAAGUUCAAUUCCCCCGAGCUAGAGUACGUAGGCAAUCUCGAUCUCAACGAGGUGCAGCCACCCCAAUCUCCAAUAUCCCCAUUUGGUCAAGUCUCCAUAACGACCUGACCCUGUUGAUGCAUUAAUCUAGAAAUAGGUUAAUACAAUCACAAAGCGUAUUCCGCGACUUCAGCUCCCAAGUCCCAAUGAAGGAAGUUCAUCUAUUUUUGCAUAGCAAUGUUAUCAUCAGUUCAUCACUACCUUCCCACUCUGGAUUUGUGCUCCUAUUUUCUUCAAUUUGAGAAGAAGUUAAAACAUACAGUACCUCUGCCGUACUUUAUGAUAGUACAUACAAGUAAGUCGAAAUUGCUUUUAAAAAUAUCAUAUUCGAACUAAAAGGAUGGAAUAAGCAUGCUUUCAGCCACACCUAUACAAAUCUGGUAGGGGAGGCUUGUAGAAUAGACUUUUAUUAAUAAUGGUCUCUUGUACAUAGAGCUAAACAAGUGGGUACCCAAUAUCUCAUACUAAAAACUCAUAUGAAAAAGAUACCAUAAAUAAACAGCUGGAAUUAUAUACAAACAAAGAUUUGUUAACUACAAGUUACAAUACUAUGCUCCUAGGAAUAAGUUUCAGCACUAGCCAAGUUCAUCAGAUUACCAUCAGAUAACAAGUCUUCAUCAAUGUCGUUACUACAGCCAGCCAGCCAGCCGUUACAUUCACCAACAAGAAAACCAUGAUUGUAUUUCAAUUACUGCAGACUUGUUAAGAUCACCAACAACAAGAAUCUAUGCUGCUACAUACCUAUUGUAUUUCAAAGCUUACUAGCACCAACCACAAACUACAACAAACGAAACCAAUAUUCUGCAAAUGAGCUGCAAAAAACCAGAGUCGAGCACUGUCCAUAGAUCAAUCACCAAUUGCUAGUUGUUGCUAAAUUAAGACUUAGGGUUUUGGUUCUCCUAAUAAUAAUGCAUUUAUGUCUGGCUUUGACCCUCCUAAUCCAUCCCAAUUUCACAUACAAAUUUUUUGUGCUUGCACACGUGCAAGUUGUAACUUAAGGUAACAGGUGUGAGUAUGUGACAUCCCUAGAUGAUCAAACAUUCAAACCUAACACUUCUCCAAUCACACAGUCUGUAUUUCAACACACAAAUCUCAUUGUAAAAUGGGACAAAGGACUAAACACUAACUAUACACAGAAGUGCAUCAGACCACAUCAGGAAGUCCAUUCCUUGGAAUCGGAUGGUCACCCAAAUUCAAUCCAAUUGACCCGUGUUCUAUUAUAGCUAAGGAACCUAGCUAAAGCCAGCAACUCAAGGGAUAUGAAAAGCUCCCAGGCAUUAAGCCUUCAUAACCUGCUGCUGUCGUUAAGCACUUUUUGUUGAAGGGUGUUGAUGUUCUACUGCAUCUGAGUAAAAUGUCAUAGUAUAUGCUUCCAACCGAGAUUUAUUAGUGAACCAACUCAUUUGUCCGGAUGUCAUAAUGUAUGAUUCCAACCUAGAUCUAUAAGUGAACCAACUCAUCUGUCCGGUUUCUCUGUGUAAGGAAAAGCCUAUUUGUUGCAACCUACACUGCAUACAUUUAUUUAUAAUGUUGUGCUAAAAAUCUAAACUCUUUAUAUAAUUCAUUUUGAUGUUUUGUUGAGAUCCAACCCUUUCCAAAUGUCAAAGGAUUAAACCUUUUACAUAUUUGGUUGGUAGACAAGAAAUUUACAAAGUAAAUAACAAAAAGUCUUCCAAGAUAUUCUUCUCUAGUCCUCUCCUAUUUUUUUUUUAGCCAAACCAAACUUUAUUUAAAAACCAAAAAUUUGUUCAAAACAAAGAGUUUACAGAGUAACUAAGGCGUGCCAGUUCAUGGGCGGGAGCUGUUAACUUCCUUGGUAGAUAACAAAAAGGGAGUAGUUCAACGCGUAUGUAAGCACACUUGUAGAAGACUCGAUACCUUUGCAAGUAGCAACUAUAUUUAGAUUAUCACUGCAGAUGACGACAUUCUUCCAUCCCAUAUCAAUACCCAAAGACAAACCACUUUUUAUAGCUAGUGCUUCAGUAUGUUCAGGGUCCCGGCCAUUUACUCUCUCUCCUCCUGCAAGAACAAAAUUGUCAGGCCAUGAGAACAGUACGUAACCUACAUAGCUUUCAUGUAAAUCUUGCAAGUUCCAACCAAACGAACCAUCCAUAAUAAUAACAAGAAAAUCCUGUCUAACAGAAGGCGGGAUAGAAAAUUCAGUACGAAGAGAUUCCUUUGAGUUGGUGUUUACACGUAACAGAGACUGGUUUGCUUGACAUAAGAGAUGACUCGGAUUCAGAUUGUAUUCAGAGUCAUUAAAUACUCACUGAUUUGGAUUCAUCCAAAUAAAAUAACAAAUACAAGCUAAGAGACUAAUCGGAUCUACACAUUUCUUUCCAAUAGAAGUAGUCAUAUGAGUAAGAACAUCACAUAUGUCAGAGUAGUCUUGCCAGUACUCUGGUCUGAGACUUAAAUUGGAAGCAAACCAUAUGCACUGAAUAUUAUUACAAGUAAAAAGAGCAUGCAAGGCAGUUUCCGAGUGUGUAUGACAACAAGGACUAGAUCAUCAGAACAAAUAUUUUUACGAAACAAUAAAGAUCUAGUAGGAAUGGCAUUAUGCAAUAACUUCCAAACAAAAAGUUUUAUUCUGGUCAUCAUCUGAUUGUUGAUUAUGCUAGUACUUCUUACUCUAGUCCUCUCCUAUGUUCAAACAGAGAAACUUCAGUAUGAUGACCAGAAAUUGAAGAAUAGAGCUCUUCCACUCAUUAACUUCCGCUCUCUUCAAUCAUACAUCAUACGGAUUUUUCUUCUUCAUCGUGACUCAGAUGUAAUGAGAUCAUCAUAUUUUUCCCUCUUUAUCAAAUAUCAAUCAAAACUUACCAUGAACUAAAUGUACAUCAAAGAUCUGACACUGAAAACUUACGAUCAAACAAGGGUUUCAAAAUCAUACCCCAUGUUACACUAUCAACCAAUGACUCCAAAUCUGGUGUUUUAGUGCUCCAGAUCACAAUAGAACAUUGAUCUAAAGAUUCGAUUAUUUCUAUUCUUCUAUGUCCCACCUUUUUAUUGCUUGAAUAAUUCAGCAAAAACAUGUUGGAACAAGAAGGGUUGCAGAUUUGAUGUAGUCAAGUUUCAGAGAACGAUUUUAAAUUAUAAACCUGACACACUGGUGUUUAAGUGGUUUUGGGAAAAACUACACCUCAAUUUCAGAAAACAAUAUUCCUGAAACUGAAAACCAAAGCAUAAAAGUGCAUACAUUGUUAGUUUGUUAAUUCCAAUUUGCAUUUUAGAACUUUUGAGAGAGAAAGAUCUUGUUCAUCCAAAUCCCGAGCUCUCUAUUUCCGGUACAUGUUCCUUGAGUCUUUCACUUCUAUUGUUCAAUUUAGGUCUGUUUUUUUUUUUAUUUUUUUAUUUUGAAAUUUUAAUUUAUUCAUUGACACAAAGUUAUAACAACGGCUAUAUUAAGAAGGACACUAACAGCAAUUAGGAAGGAACUAACGUGACUCGAGUCCCCUAACUACCCAGUUCAAUCACCAUUUACCAGGCACAUGUGCAGAGGCUAGAGGCCUGAUUCGUUCAUGUGAGAUAAUCUGUCCCUAAUCUCGCAAAGCUUCUCUCUCACUCUGAAGCCUUACAAACUCUUCAUCGUCCUCUUCGUCUUCCCAGAUAUCAUCAAAGAAAUUUGGCUCAUCUCUCUCAAAAAACUCCUCCAUCAACGCCCUUCUAUCCCGCUUCUGCUUAUCAUGCAUAAUUUCAAAUCAAUCAAUCUUCUUGUGCAUCCUUCAACUCUGACUCCCCUUUCUUUCCCCAUCUCGAUUAUUUCUUCCCUGAUCUUAGUCUUGCUCUAACCUCCACUUUUAUUGAGACCUUCCUGACAUGCACUCAAGCUACCUGAGCAUUGCCCCACUACUGCAGCCUUGCCUUUCACUUGAUCACCUUGUUGUAAUGUCUAAUUUCAUCAAAACCAGGAUAGGAAACUUUUAAUUUAACCGAGUUACCACUAAGCAAUUAAAUGUUCUUCUUGUUUCUCUCCAAUUUCAUUGGUCUCCCGUCGUUAAAAUAGAUCUGUCAACUGUCGCUGAGUCCAGCAUAGCUCUAAAUGAACAUUUCAAAAAGGCAUCGGCCCCAUACUAAAAUUUACUGGGGAUCCAUUUCUACUAGAUCUCGCCUAAACUCUUGUUCUUUGUAAGGUGUACAGCUCUGAUGAGUAUUUUUGCCAUACAGACAAUGUUGAGUUCUGUCCUUGGUGUUCCUAAACGAAGCUAGUAAGGUACUGUGUUAAUAACACGCAGGCCCGUUUUCCUCCAAAGGUAUAUAAACUGAAUUUUGGUUUGUUUUGCAUUCUUGUGUGGUACACAUAUGGCUCUGGGUGAACAAUGAAGAAAAAGUUUAAGGGCAUAGCUGCAGAGCGUCAGAAAGUUUUUCUGUUCAUCAAUAAUAUUUUCUAUUUACAGUAUGAAAGAAAGGUUGUAAGAAGAACAUGUGAAGCAAUCAAAUAUGUUUACUAAAAAGAGGUAUACACAGUAAAAUAAAUUACAAAUUCUAUGUUAUUCAAAAUACUAUGUUUGAUACUUAACUUUAAGGAAUUGAAAGCAGUUAGAUACUCACCAGUAGGGACUUGGUAAAUACCAUUUAUCUACCUCCAUAGUUGCAAGACUUCGGGAAAAAGGAUAGACCAGAACCCCGCCCGAAGUUAUAGAUGUGUCAUUUGAUGCCCUGUACACACACACUCAAGCUUCUUGCUGUCUGGGUGGUAGCAAAAAAUCCCUAGAUUGUGUCCAAGGAAAACAAUAUCUGAAUUUGGAUGAAAGGCAUAGAGAGCUAACGACAACGGAUCACCAAAAAUACCAGAGGUUGGAUGUUCUGCAAAGUCUAGAAGAGAAAUUUUAUGUUUCAAGACCCACUCACUUCCAUUAAGCAUCCAAAUGAGAUUUUGGUAUGUUUUACAAUCAUGGAAAGCAUAAUGAAUAUGACCCUUGGACACCCAGAUACAGCCAAAAGGGUUCAUUAUUUGAGCAACUUCUGGAAGCCGGAUUCCUUGAGCACUCACUUGUUUAAUAUCAAACUUCAGAAUAUAACCCGAUAAUGACAAACAAUAAAGAGACCCAUCUAAGAAAACAUACCGCAAUAACACAGGUCCAAGCAUAGAAUCUUCCAAGUGUAACCCAUCUCUAUGUUCCGUCCAUUUCCAAGUCGCUUAAGAAUAGAUAAACAUUCUUAACGGUUUGCGUAAGAUAUAAACCACACCAAAGUGUGAGCCAAAAACCAAUGCGGCAGCACGUGGCCUUCUAUCGUCUGGUGAUGAAGGAAGACCAACACAUUGCUCUGUUGAUGGAUUGACGACAAAAAAUCGGUGAAAUGAACGAUCCCAUAUAAGUAAGAACCCAUUUGAGCUAUCAAAGAAAUCUUCGGGAAUAGGGGUAAAAGGUAACCUACAGAAAUAAGAUUGGAGAAAGGAGGAACUAUUGUUUGUCCCAGCUAAACAAACAAAAUUCAAGGCGGAUGUUGGACUUGUUCUUCUUUUAAUUUUGACAAAGAAUCCAGAAAGUGGACAUAAAACUUGUGGAAUACAGACAUCAGAAAUCAGUCUGUACCAUGAUUUUGAAACAGAUGUGCAUCUAAUCAUAUCCUUUGGGGGCAACCUACACAUGACCUCUGCCCAACCAUCAUCUGGUAAUAUGCAAUGACAUGCACAGGUUGUAGGACUACAAGUAAUACUAGCAAUUUUGUUAUUAAUACUACUAGUAUUACAAGAAGCAGUUGGGCCAAUAAUAGUUGCUUUUGAAGGGUGGUGUUGGUCUAGAAUAGAUCUUACUCUUCCAUCGAAAACGAAUACCAACUUUUUAGUGAACCAAGAGAAGAAGCAUGUGAAUAAUACUAGGGAUGACAAUAACACAACGCUGAUUGAGGGGCAAAUUCCGAUGCUUACAGGAAAAGGAAUCAGAAUGGUCACACGGAUCAUUCUGCUACAACUGCAGGAGAAGACUAAUGUGUUGAUUUGAUCAAUCUAUAUCACUCAAAAGAAGGGAAGCUCCUUAUACCACACUGAAGAUCAAUGUUAACUUAAAAAUGUGCAGCAAAGAGCAGGCGCCACCAAUGGUGCAGUAAUUCUGGAAACAUAGACUUCAUCUUUUCAUACAAACACACACGCCCAGAUUAAGGGUUAGGCAAAUAAUUCAACUCAUAUCACAUAUCAGUGAAAUUGACAAAUUUUUAAUUAUCUUAAGCAUAGAGAGACAACCCAACAAAGCUAAUUAUGGACUUAUCACCCAAAAAAACAAAAAAAAAAACCUUCUUUUCAUACAAACAUACCAAAAGGCAAAAACCAUGAAUUCGAUAAUAUCAGAAUCGAUUAAACAUCACGCAUUAGUAGAUUUUACCACAAAAAAAAAUCAAAAUUUUCCUAUAUGUCAGCUAAUUACAAACUCAUAAAACAUAAAAUCAUAAUCAAUUGAUGAAACUAACCUCAACAAGGAUAACAGGAUGAUGGUGGAAGCAGUUUUGAUAAAUUAAGGUUGGAAGAAAGAAUUCUCUUUGUCUUCGAUUUUGGGAAAUUUAAGGAAGAAGAAACACGAACUGGGCUGAAACUACUAAAUAUUUAAAUAAAUAACUGCCAUUAAAAUCAAAUUGGGCUUAAACUUAAGAUCCAUAUAUUAGGCCCGCCAACUUAGUCCAAUUCACUGUACAUAAUCGUCACUCGUCAGCAUAACGAUUACAUCUGAUUCCGAAAUGACGUGGACGAAAGACUACCUUCUUUUGAAAUUGAAAAGAAAACAAGCUCGAGUAGUGUGUUAGAGAGAGAGAGAGAGAGAGAGAGAGAGCAGAGUGAGAAUGUUGAAACUUUUCUGCAAUUCUCAAUUCCACGCAUUGAAUCGUAGAACAUUUUAUAAAACUUCUUCAAUUCCAAUUCUAAUUCAAUUCAAUACAUUCUCACAACCUCCAAAUUUUCUUCAAUUUUUCCCCAAUUCUGUUCCUCUUCUACCUUCAAGAAAUCUAUGUAUAAGAGCAUUUGAAUCAUCAUCAUCAUCUUCUUCUUCUUCAGAAUUGAAUUGAAAUGAUUGAAGUUUUACUAUUUGGAAUCGUGUUAGGCCUAAUUCCUAUUACUUUGGCUGGAUUAUUCGUAACUGCCCUAGUGGAGAAUUUGAGUAUAAACAAAUUACUGGAUGGAUAAGUUUUGUUGUCAAGUUGAAAAUGUUGCUUGCUUAUCCAUGGGAACGUGUUCGAAAAGGGAGUGUUUUGACAAUUAAGUUGCAAGGCCAGGUUUGAUUUUUGAUGAUUUUCAUUUACAGACGAAGUUGGGAUUAGUUUUUUGCGCAUUAUGUUGUUGUUGGUUUUUUUUUUUUUUUAUGCCUAAGUAAUGAAUGAUGUACAUUGUCGAUGACAUGCAUAGGAAUAUAGAUGGAGCUCACAUUGUAUCUGAUACACUUGCACUGCAAUCGAUAGCUUAAAUGUAACUGUUUGGAAUUUACAAGGAAUGUGUUAUCUUUUCUCUAGAUGGAGAAAGGGAUAUUCCUUCUUCAUAGUCAUAAGGGCACUAGUUACUGUCAUACACCUAGACCAUAUACAUGUUGAUUUUAUAAUGAAGGUCAUUUUCCUGAGCUAUUGGCACUACUUAGAUACCGCCUACCAGAGGGAUAGAUGAUAUUGGGUGGAAAUGUUAUGUGCCAUGUCAGCAUGUCCGUUUCAGCAAUCUCCCACCUGGAAGUAAUGUCAGAUAGACAUGUCACAGUCGUUUAGAUAAAAGGACUUUCUAUUCGACGGUCAAAGUGACUACUCAUUUAACAGUUGGUUUAGUUUACGAUUUUAUUAAUUUCGUUGCACUCCAUUAAAAUUUUCGGUUUUGAGUUUCAUCUCCCCAUUAAAUUCCACUAUUUUUUUUCGCAAACAUGUUUUUCGAAAUGCUUUUGAGAAUUUAAUCACUUGUUUGAAUCAUUACUAUAUUGCGAUGCAAAUUAAGUUAAAGAGCUGUUUCUUUUAUUUGCACUAGAUUUCUGAUCAGCUGAAGAGUCGUUUCUCUUCGGGGUUAUCACUGCCUCAACUAUGCGAAAAUCUUAUCAAGGCAGCGUAUGAUCCUCGUAUCUCUGGUGUAUAUCUUCAUAUAGAACCCUUAAACUGUGGGUGGGGAAAAGUUGAAGAAAUUCGAAGACAUAUAUUGGAUUUUAAGAAAUCAGGUAGCCUCGUAGUAUUCUUAAUUAAUUAUAUAUUAGUGUUUUACUUCCUCUUGUAGUGCUUGUAUAUGUCAGGAUAAAUUUCAUAUAGUGUCAAUCCUACCUGUCCUGCUUUUAAUGUUUAUCAACAGAAGAAUGACCUACAUGUAAAGGUGAACCUUGCAGUGAUCAUCUAUGUUGAUGUAUGAUACACAUACACUGCUGUACCAUGGAUCUUUCUUUCAGUCUUAAGGUGUUUCUGGGAGUUGUUAAAUAUUAAUGCAAAACUAGUUUAGUUUGUUUAUUGAUGGAGUUUUUUCAUUGAAAAUAUUUAGUUUAAUUGGAUUUUAUCCCUUUCAGCGUCUUCUUUUCUUUGUGAAGGCAAGUCUCUUCUACAUCUUAUAACUUGGACUGCGAUUACUGAAAAUAAAAUUUUAAGUGAUCCACGAGUCAAGUGUUUCUGUGAUGUCUUUUAUUCCUUUAAUGCAUGCUCAAGCAUUAUGUCUGUCUUUCGAGCCUUCAUACAUCUUCCCAGGCGAGGUUGUACAAAAAGGACAUGCAUACACAGAGAACACAUUCACAAAUUUUACUCCAAUUGUAAAAAUUAAAUAGAAGUAGUAAUUUUCAGGAUUCCUACCAUAUUGCUUCUUGCUCAUAAAAAGAGUAGCACCCAUGACUAGAGGUAUCAAUAGGUAAAUAGAAGUAAUCUUUUACAUGUGUCACACAACAUUCUUAAGAAACAUUGCUGCAACUUCUUAAGAAGCCUUGUUUCUUUCCUUGAGUGAAGUGUAAUGACAUUUCCUAUAUCUUGUUUUGUUCAGUUCUACUUUAUGUCGUCAUUGUCUUUCAAUAUGACAAUAUAAUGGAUCACUCGGAUGUGUCUUUACUUAUGUCGCCAUUGUCUUACAAAUUUUCUGUUUCUGUUUUGUUAUUUUUGCGGGGAGGGGGGGAUUGCGUUCUCAUCAUUUAUGGAAUGUCAGCAAUAGGUUCCAAAUAUGGAGCAAUUUAGAACAGUGGUUGUAAUGUGAUCUUUUAACAAAUAGAGGAUUAGGAGUUUUUAAUUAUUAAUUAGCUGUCUCGUUCUCUAUAAUUGCCUAAUUGGUGCCCAAUAAGUGUUGCUAGGAUCUUCACAUCAAAAUACCCUUACUUAUUAAAAACAAUGUUUACACUAAUCUGUUUCAUCAUCUCGUGAUACUAGUCAUCCCUGUGCUUACAUUCUUUUCUAAAUUUUCUCAGACUAAUAAUUCUGGUGCUUCUUUGCAGGAAAAUUCAUUGUGGCCUAUGUUCCUGCUUGCGGAGAGAAGGAAUACUACCUGGGCAGUGCUUGUGUAGAGUUAUAUGCUCCCCCCAGUGCAUAUUUUUCUUUGUAUGGUUUAACAGUUCAAGCAUCAUUUCUUGGUGGUAAGUUGCUUCACCUAAUCCUCCAUAGUUAGCUUACCAAAUCAAACAAAUACAUUGGUGUCUUGUUAUCCAUUUAUUAGGUAUGAUGUUUUGGGCAGAACAGUUCUAACUUUUUCAUCGUGUGUACAAUUAACGUUGCAUGCCUACUCUGAUUAAAAGCGUGAUCUGUGAAAUGCCACGUACCUCACCUUCUUAGUCCACUUCCUAAUAUCCAUCAUUAUGAUGUGUGAUGCAACAAGUUCUUUAACUGUUACCAGCAACAAGUGUAGUUUGCCACGCGGCGUGUCUAUUCUCUGCUCAUUUAUUAUCAGAGUUGCAUCCAUACAGCUUGACCCAGGCCACGGGAGAUCAUAAAGAUGCUGAUGUCUAUGUGAUAUUCUGCUGAGUAGAUGGUUGAUGGAUAUUCUUCUGGGUAGAUGGUUGAUGCUUAUGAAUCAUAUGUCCUGUGCUUAGAAGUUAUUCUGACAUGCCUUAGAAACCUAAGGCCACUCAAAGCAUGGUUUUAACAAGUUCGAAUUUUACAGUAAAGAAAAGUAUAUACAAAAUGUUGAUUUAGAUUUAUAAAGACUUGAUUUACCAUGUAACUAGUGCUCCCUUUUGUUUUUAUGAGUAAAAACUAAAAUGUAGCCAUUGAUAUAAUUGGGAAGCUAGUACAUUGUGAAAUUAUCCAUAUACUAGUCAGCAAGAAGCUGAGCAAAGUCUAGAAAUUUAUAAACAUCAUCUUAACUGAAUACCCUAACUCAUGAUUACAUCUAUUGCCACUAACUCUGGACAGCCUAUACAGACUACUCUCUCAUUUGUUCUUCUAUUUCAGUGUCCUUGUUGUCCUUUUCAAUUAGUUGUACUUUUCGUCCUUUAUGUGCAAACUUACAGCUUCAAUGCAACAUGUUGUGUAGGUAUCUUUGAGAAAGUAGGAAUUGAACCACAAGUGCAGAGAAUAGGUAAGUAUAAAAGUGCUGGUGAUCAACUUACUCGUAAAAACAUGUCACAAGAAAACUGCGAGAUGCUUACUGCAUUGCUUGAUAAUAUCUACGGGAAUUGGUUGGACAAUGUUGCUUCUACUAAAGGUGCGAUUUGAAUUGCUUUUCCUUUUUAUUGAUGUGGCUUGCAUUAGUGAGAUAUGAUGUUAUUAUCCUCAUUUUUACUGUUUAUCCAUUCCAGGAAAGAAAAGAGAAGAAGUUGAGAACUUCGUAAAUGAAGGAGUUUACCAAGUUGAAAGGUUGAAGGAAGAAGGUUAUAUAACAGACAUACUUUACGAUGAUGAGGUAUAAAUCCCGUCGAGGUUAUUUAGUUAUAUAUCUUAUGCAUAAGGUAAAUGCCAGAAAUAGAAUACUGUACAAGCGUUGUUCAUAGUAUGUGUUAGAAUUAUGGUGUUUGGUUGUUACAAUAUACCAAAACCUGAAAUAGUGGAAAAUUGACCUUACAAAAACUGAUAGCAACCCAUACAGAGUAGAAUUGUAAGUUACUUCUGUUUUUGUUCAUUAGAGCCAUAAGGUUCAUUUCAUUGCUCAAGCCACAAAUAACUUCCUAUAGUAAAUCUUCCAUAUUACCAUUUACUUUUCUCAAUGUUGAAGGCUUAUUGGUUAAUUACUGCAAUGAGCCAAUGAGGAGCAUAACUACAGUGACCAGUUAGUGUUGCUUCCAAAUAAGUAAUGUAAAUUUCUUUAUCCUUGACUCAGAUUGAAGUUGAUGGGAAUUACUAAUAAUAUCAUAAAGUAUGCAGGUUAUUGAUCUCCUUAAGAAAAGAUUGGGACAAAAAAGUGAGAAAAAACUUCUGACGGUUGAUUACAGGUAGAACUUUUUUGCUUGCAACUAGUAAUAUAACACAAGUUAACAACUUAUCUAUAGCUGUCAUUAAGGAAUGCUGUCAGCUAUAAUGUAUUCACUUUACUAUUUUAUUUCUAUAGAGUUGUGCUAAAAUUCUGGAUAUCAUAGUUUUUGUACUCUUUACUAUGUUUUGAAUAAAUUGUAGUGGCGUGUGUUUUUUGUUAUUGUUGUUGAUAAUUUAGUAUUUCGUUUUUUAGUGUCUGCAUCAUGUAGAAUGGGAUCAUAUAUUUGAAUAGUGAAGUAGUUAUCUAGCCCAUUCUCAAAUGCAAGAAUUGAGAAGAUUAUCCUUUUUGUGUGUUGGUGUUUUCUCUGUGUUUUUUUAUUGGACAAUUGUAAAAUGUUGUUUAAACUGAGGGAAGCCUACUCGAAAAAGCUCUCUACCCAAAGGUUUGACCUGGGGUGGACUCAUUUGUAUCAUAUAUUUAAUAUAUAUGAACAAAUAAGCUUUUUUUGUCCCAGUUGAAUAAGAUAUCAACUCUACAAGUUUUUUCGGAUAAUAUUUGUGUCUUUCAUUCCCUCCUUCACUAUCAACUUUCUUUAUUUUAGUGAGGAUGUGUUGGUUAUGACAGAGACUGUUAGAACUUGCCUAUUCUGUAGAAUUUUAGGUGGUCCUUGUUCAAGUGUGUGCUUGGAGAAAUACGAGACAUCCGGUAGGGUGCGAAUUGCUGAUAACAAUGGAGAUCAUCAUUGAUCUUAGGCAAGGUUGCACGGACUCGGCGACACGUGUCCAAGCCGUGUCCGUCUCCGCGCAGUGGCCGACACUGACACAGUGAAUUUGUAGAAGUGUUCGUGCUUCCUAGUUCUUAGGGUAGUGAACUAUAGGUGCGCACAGCAGCACAGGGCAUGCGAGAAAUUCUAUUGGCGUCUUGGUAGCUUGCCUUUUAUUGGAUAAUAUAGGCGAUUAUUGUUACAAGGUUUGUAAAAUUUAGUUUCUGCUGAUGACUAUAUGGGGUUUUCUUGAUGUAUUGUUCAACUUUAUAGCAAUAAUUUGUCGUAUCAAGAUUAUACGAAAAAAAAAUUUGCUCCCUUUUUCCUUUUAUUUUCUUGCUUCUAUCAUACUAUAGACAAUAUUGUAAUAUACAUAAGAAAAAAUGGGCAUCCAAACUUUAUUGACAGCCUUCCCAUGUUUGCACUCUAGCUUUUCGGAGCAUGUGGUUUUGCAGGCUUAUAUUUCCGGUUUUUUUUUCCGUGUCUGUGUGUAAGUAGGUUUUCAUACUUUUAUUAAUAUCAAUUGCAUUUCUGAAGUCGUGAUUUCACCAGUCAUACAUAGGUAUAGAAGCUAGUUUUGAAGGUGCGAUCUGUCAUGCUAACUACAGGAAAUACUCUAGAGUGAGAAAUUGGACUCUUGGCUUGACAGGAGGUAAAGAUCAAAUAGCUGUUAUCAGAGCCUCUGGAAGCAUUAGUCGUGUUCGUAGUCCACUUAGUUUGUCUAGUUCGGGUAUCGUUGGCGAGCAAUUCAUUGAAAAGAUUCGUACUAUAAGAGGUAAGAUGUACUACAUACCAAGUACUAUUUACAUCUUUUAUGUGGUGACAGAUAGGUCUGACUUGCACAUGUUCUCACCCCUGUGUUUUAUUAUAAUUACAAUGAUCUACCCUUGGAUGAAGCAAUAUUGAUUAUUGGAUUUCAUAAGCACCACAUUUCCUGAGAAUUAAAGGAACACAACCAAAUAUGUUUCUUUAUCGGUGCACUACAAUUUUGAUUUAUGGUCAUUGGACACAAUGUGAUGCCAUUUAUAUUAAUGUUGCAUUGUCCACUUGUUUUUAUACCAGUUUUGCAUAUUAGUUUAGUGCAUUUUUCUAGAAGAAGUUCAAACUUGAUAUAAAUUUGCACAUGUAAUAUCUUUGGAGUCUUGAGUUCACACCAAAUUGAUUAUGUAUGGUCAUUAGAAUAUUCAUUGGUCAUAUAAGUUGAGAGCUGUCUGCAAAAUAUUUCAUUUGGUCCAAGCCGGAGCAAGUAUUGUGCUUAAACCAUUCAUGAUUCCAAAAUUUUAUGUUGCUCUUUGUUUGACCUUUGUGCUUGAACUUAAUAGCAAUGGGUCUCCUUAGACAACUGGACUGAUACUCUCUUUAACCUGUAGUAGUUACAAUGGUAUAGUGUCCAAAUGGAAGGUGGCUUUUCAAACCAAAAGAAAUGGACAUUUUGGAUUACUGACUAGGAGAUCAGUAUAGAUGUUAGUUCUGAUUAAGUGUGAGGAAUGAGAUCCCCAUAGAUGUGUUCCACCGGGACUCAGUAUGCAAUACAAACAUUUUUGUCUUAAAUUGACCAAGGUGUGUAUAGAUACAUAAAGUUUUGUUUGUUGUACUUUUAUGUUCAACUGUCUCUAUUCACCAGCUUGACAAAGAGUUUAGUUUAGUUCAGUAUUGCAGAUCCUUCAAAUUAAUUUUCUUGAUUAUUUAGUUUCUCUUUCCAGAGUCAAAGAAAUACAAAGCUGUUAUCAUUCGAAUUGAUAGCCCUGGAGGUGAUGCUCUUGCUUCUGAUUUGUAAGUGUCAUUGUAGAGUAGUAACCUUAUUCAGCUGAUAAUGUAUCUUUGCUUCUUUUACGAGUGAGACUAAGGGGCCGUUUGGGAAUAUAAAGGAGAGUUGAAAGGAGAUUUCUUGUUGAAGAGUUCUACGAACUUACAACUCUUUUCUAUACAACCCAUGGUCUAGAUGAUAUUGUAAGAGAAUUUUGAAAAUCAAAAUUCCUUUCUCGAUAAGUCUUAAGAUUUGGCUUCUGACUUACGACUUUCUUACAGUAGAAAACCCUGUCCCAUGACCUCCGCCUCCCCUCCUUUCUUCUUCAUUUUGUGCUACGACCUACAGAAUAUCACCUUUCAACUUUCUACUUUCUCCUUUCUAUCCCUGAACGGCCCCUAACAUUUUGCAUUUGAGAAUUGUCAUUAAGCAUGAUUUAUGACAUCAUUAGAUAUUAUGUACUUAUUGAUUUUGUGAUUUUCUCAGUACAUGUUCAUUUGAAUCUUGUUAUAUUCUAUUAGACUGUUUCAAGUUGUUGCUCAAAUUUAGGGCAGCAUUUAUUUACUACAUAAACAAAAGAUGUUAUGAUGUGUUUUGGAAAGAGAAUACUGUCAAUAUACAGUUUGAAGAAAGUGUGCACAUAGAUGGAUAAGGAUCUACAUAAAUGUUCGAAUGUUGUUCUAAAUUUAUAAAAAGAUCCGUCUUUCUAGCAUGCGUGAGAAACGAUUUUACUUGGACUUCAUGAGAUUCCAUCUUGAAAGCUCUGCCCUUUCUAUUGUAUAUCUACUAAUUGAAGCGUUUAAACUUUAAACCUUGUAUGCUUGCCUCAGAAUGUGGAGGGAGAUCAAGCUUCUCGCAGCCUCUAAACCCGUCAUUGCAUCAAUGUCUGAUGUGGCGGCAAGUGGAGGGUAUUACAUGGCUAUGGCAGCAGGAUGUAUUGUUGCAGAGAGCCUUACUUUGACAGGUUCCAUUGGAGUUGUCACAGGUAACCUUAUAACUUCUCUACCUCAAUAAUUAUGAUGAUUUAAGUCAGAAUAAUAAGUUUUGAUAAUUCAUUGUGAACCUGUUUAUACUAUGUUGAAAGAGUGUUCACACAUGAUGGGCCCCAGGAAUUUUUCCAUGUUUAAUACUUGUAACCGACUCAAGAGUUGACGCUUAAAACAUCUUCCUCCACCGAGGGGGUGUUUAUAAACAAGACACAUACAACCAUAGGAGAUGUAGCUGAAUAAAACCAUCCAGGUUCAUUAUUAUUGCCUUUGUAGAUGUAAACCAGCCAAGUGAUUUUAGACAUUGUGUGGCCAUACUGUCAGACUGCUGAAGAAAACUGGAAAUAACUACUAGUGACGUUUGAGACUAGUGAUCUGAGACAGAUCAAGAUCAAGAAGGCUAGUCUCUUAUUGAAGAUAAGUGUCUUAAUAAUAUAGAGCUAAGGGGUACAAGAUUGAAAUUAGGAAGAUCAUGUCAUUAAUUAGAAUUUGAGGUAGUUUGUGUAGGCGGUGCGAGAUGAAGAGUCAAUUUAAUAUGCCCAUAUGUCUUCAUGACAGGAAAAUUUAACUUGGGGAAGUUGUAUGAAAGGAUUGGAUUCAACAAGGAGAUUAUAUCAAGGGGAAAAUAUGCUGAGCUCACUGCAGCAGAACAACGUCCUUUCCGGUUAGAAAUUUCAAUGCCAUUAUAAGAAAGCAGCUAUAAUUUAUACCUAACAUCAAAAUAAGUGCUGAGAAUUGAAAAGCUAUUAAGGCUGAUGCAUAUCACAUAAACUUCACUCACAGGCCAGAUGAAGCGGAGCUCUUUGCCAAGUCUGCACAGAAUGCAUAUAAAAUGUUUCGAGACAAGGCAGCACUUUCAAGAUCAAUGACAGUAUGCUGCACUACCAUUCCUCUUCUUUUUUUUUCUUUACAAAAUACUCUUUUGUCUUAAACCAUAGUUUGUUGAAUCUCACACAAGUCCCAAUACCUCCAAUGUAUAGGUAGAUCAAAUGGAGGAGUUUGCUCAAGGUAGGGUAUGGAUCGGUAAAGAUGCAGCCUCCCGAGGUUUGGUUGAUGCUUUAGGUGGUAUCUCUCGAGCUGUUGCCAUUGCAAAGCAGAAGGCAAAUAUACCACAUGACAAGCAGGUUGUUGCUGAAUAGUUUCUGUCUUAUGCUAUUCUUUAUUGUUUUGUAGUGCUGAUUUUGGAUGAAACUGCUAAAUCACAUCCGAAGAUGUUUUUCAUUAUAUGAUUGAACCGGACUGGCUUAUGUCCCAACAAAUAAAUAUAAAAAAAAAUGAUAAAGAGAAAAAAAAACAGGAAGCAAAAAGACACUGGCUUGAAGUCCCAAUCCUAGUUUCACAGGGCUUUUGAUCAAAUGUAAUACAGGAAACAGUUUGUUUGUUUGAUAAAAGUUGUCACUAGGAAACAGUUUGUUUGUUUGAUAAAAGUUGUCACUAGGAAACAGUUGGCUCACAUAGAUAUAUAAUGGCUGCAGUCUUGCAAUGAGGUGCUUCCGCAUUGACUGCAUGUUUUUUUUCCACCUCCGUUUGGUUUAUUUCUCCCCUUUUUUCCUUCUCUUGAUAUUCUUUAAUUUGUCUGCUUGGAUCCAGGUUACACUUGUUGAGAUGUCGAGACCAUCUCCUACAUUACCAGAGCUCUUAAGUGGUAUUGGCACUUCCUUACUUGGAUUGGACCAGACGGUGAAGGUACUUUUGCAGGAAUUAACACUUACUGAAGGAGUUCAAGCCAGAAUGGAUGGAAUCAUGUUUGAGAAAUUAGAAGCUGCUUCUUCUGGCAACCCCAUAUUUACGCUGAUAAAAGAUUACCUAAGCUCGCUAUAGUCUCAGUUAACCACACAAAUCGCAUAUCAAUACUUUAAAGUUCUGUAAGGGUUCUUCAAGAUUUCUUGUUGCAAAAAAGCCUCAAAAGUGAUCCAUACAAAAGGAGAUGAAACCUAUAGGAUGCAGAUGCCACAAUUAGUUAUCCAAAAAUUGUUUCAUACCAGAAUUAUACAUGUUUUCCAUAGCCACAGUGAGAGUUUCAUAUACAGUAGAUGUAAAAAGUUAAUACAGUUUGGCAAAAGAAAUACGUUCCAUACGUACAUGGUUAUAUUUCUUUUCUUUUGAUUUAUGCUGUUUCCCAUGGGAAAUGGGCAAGUAAGAGAGACCAAAUGCUAACUUUCUUUUGGAACAAAUGUGGAAGUUAUCCCUUAUUCCCUUUAAAAGAUUUCCUCAUUCUGAUGGGUUUCUGGAAGACAGAAAAACUAGAAACUAUGGUGUGCUAUUUAUCCAAGGAAUGACCAUUCCCAGGCUACCGCUCAGUGGCCACCUAUGGAAAUUUGUUUUAAUUAUUUUGUUUGGAUAGCAUAAGCUAUGGUAUCAGACAAGCAUGUAUAUUACAAAGUAGAAAACAUGUCAAAUUACCAAACCAUAUAUAUGAAAUAAAGUACAAUCAGAGGAGGUUAACUUCUCAAACCAAAAGAAUUCUUUUACUUCAAACUAAUCAGCCUUCUUAUUGAAACUUGAAUUCUUUUGCAACUAGACUCACUAUUGAAGAAAGAAUUUCCCAUGUUCUACUUCUAACUUACAUUUCUGAUUCUUAAUACAUAACAGUAAUGCUUAUUGCUUAAACAAAAACAACAACAACAACAAUUGAGUUCAAAUUCUAGAGAUAGUACCAUCCAUGAUCCAUUGUCAUACUGUAAUGCCAAUUCUUGAAUAGUCUUCAUCUUGAUAAGUUCCACUUGAAUUCCAAUUUCCAAGACAUCCAAUCCAUGUUCACCCGCCAACCAAACAAACCUCUAUCACAUAACUGGAAAAUCUCAGGCCUUGUUUGGAUGACCAAUUAUUUCUGCUAAAAAAGAAAGCUAUUGUAAGUAAGAAAAACAAACAGGUCCUUCAGUUCACCAAAUUCCAAUCAACCUAUAAGAACACUAAAUUAGUAUAUGUAAAAUCCAAACCUGUCAGUUGAACAUCAAGAAACAUCCUUGGCAUUGAAUAAGAAAGCAGCAGAGCAUAAAAUUGAAGCAACAAAUGCAAAAAAUCCUAACCCAAUCAUCAAAGAGAAUCCAGCUACCAUUAAAUCUAUUAAACAUUGAAAAGGAAGAAAACCCAUCAUCAUACUGUAAUUCUCUUCUACUUCUUCUUCUCCUUGAGAAAAAUGAGAAUUGGGAUCUCUAUUAUAUAUAUAUAUAUAAAGAUUUUUCUUACAGAUGCCAAGAAAACAUGGUGACACGCAAACAGU
rnacentral:lncRNA from 1 species